AGAUUUUUCUAGACUUGGGAAAGUACCUUGUCAGCGUUUCUUUUUGUCCAAAAAGUUUUCUAUUCACUUUCAUCACAAUUUGGAAACUCCAUAUUGUAAGAUAAUUUUUAACAAAAAUGUACUUACUCAUUUGGAACAAAAAAUGGUAGCUGAAAGAUCUAAGAAUUUUCUUUCUUCUAAGUUAUAUUGAAGUAUUUCGACUUGUUUAUUUUGGUUCUUUGAAUCAAUCUAAGCUGUUUAUUGUUAAGUUUCUAUAGAUCGGUGAAAAUAAUCACCAUUUAUGUCGUUCGGUAUGUGAUAGCAGACUCCAUAAUGUCUGGAUUGUUUUCCUUUAGUUGAGGGUCUACAGGAAAAAACUCACAACUUUGAAAUAUGGGUAACGAUUGUGUACACUCUACCUUUUCGAGACUCCAUUUUGUGAGACUGUACUAUAUAUGUUGUUGUUUUCUUAGAUUUUGUUGCCGUCAUAUUCCCAUUUCUGAUGAUUAUGUUGUGUGAUUCUAAGUGAAGUUCUUAGUCAUUCUGAUUUUGCAACAACACAUUAAUAUUUUGGUUUAUAUGAUGUAGUGCAAUUCAAAUGGAAUUGAGCGUGGAUGUGGACAUACUAUUAAGUCUCAUGGUUUAUCAGUUGCAAUAAUUCACAUGCAUUACUGGCUUAUGUCAUUGGUCCCUUUCAUCGGGUUUGGUAAUUGACCUAGUAGUUAACAGGAAGGAGGUAACUGAUGAUGACUAUUGGAUGAUUACUGGUGUUAUUGGAUUAUGGUCACCUGGAGGCAACUUGAAGAUUAUUGAAAAGUAGAAUCUAUUUGACAUAAUUAAGAGAGACAUCAUUAGAUAUUUUUAAUUUGAGAUACAAAAUAACUUGUUCCUUCCCCACCGCUAUAUAUUAAAUUGUACAAUGAUAUAGUUACAUUGUUCUUAACAUUAAUUUGCCCAUUUUUAAAUUUAGAACAUAUAAUUUUAUCAGCUUAGCUUGUCUUCCAGGGUUGAAUGUUCUAAAUUCUUAUUGAGGACAGAAAGAAUAAUAAUAUAUUAAAGUUGGGUAAUUGGGUUUGUUAAUGGGACGGCUACUGGAUGGAGAAAUAUGGGUGGUGGUGCUACUCAACUCCUUAUUCCUUUGAUCUAUGAUAUAAUUUAUAGAACUGGGGAAACUCCGUUUACUGCUCGAAGAAUAGGGUUAUUUAUUCCUAGUUGGCUUCAUGUUAUUAUGGGAAUUUUGGUUUUAACUCUUGGUCAAGACUUUCCUGAUGGUAAGCUGGCUUCUUUAGAGAAGAAAGGUGAUGUUAGUAAAGAUAAGUAAUCCAAGAUAUUGUGGUAUACUGCAACAAAUUACAGGACAUGGAUCUUUGUCUUUCUCUAGGGAUACUCCAUGGGAGUUGAAUUGACUACAGAUACUGUGAUUACUGAGCACUACUUUGACAGAUUUGAUUUGAAGCUUCACACGGCUGGAAUCAUCUCUUCAACGUUUAGUAUGGCUAACCUAUUAGCGCGACCUUUUGGAGGAUGGACAUCAGAUUUUGCAGCCAAACAUUUUGGGAUGAGAGGUGGAAUAUGGAUCCUAUGAAUAUUACAAAUAGUUGGUGGAGUUUUCUGUUUACUUCUUGGAAGGGGUAACACACUUCCCGUAGCGAUUUCUUGGAUGAUCAUAUUCUCUAUAGGUGCACGAGCAGCAUGUGGUGUAACGUUUGGUAUUAUUAAAGUUGGCACAGGUUGAAUACAUUGCUCCUCAGAAAAUUGAGAAUUUUAUGCUUAAUGCAGAGUUGUUGCACAAUGCUAUGUCUAUGGUGAUAUCUUUAAUUCCUCUUUAGUAGCAGUAGUUUGUGUAGAGGCAGAUAUUUUGACGGAACGGGCAUCAUCUGAGAAAAUCAAGGGAGAUGUUUUUCUAGCAAAAUCGCACUGGCCAUGCAUCAUGAAUUUUUCCACAGCCUUGUAAUAAUCAGGAUUAACAUUUUCAUCCGAGAUUUCAACUAAAAUUAUUUGAUCAAUGUCUCUCACAUUUGGGCAUUUAUUAUGAAGAAACAACAAUAUGUGUGCAUGAGGAACAUUACCCUGAAUUUAAUGAUGAAAAGCUGUACCGGCAUGCAAGAUUGAUAACUUCAGCAGUCAUUGAUAAAAUUCACACGAUCGAUAUUUUGAUUGAAAUUGUUAAGACUGAUACUCUCAAAGCAGGAAUGAGGGUCAACUGGAUACCAACAAAGAUAGUGCAAAAAACAUGGAGUAGGAUAAAGUAAUGAAUGGAUAUUACCCCCAAGCUAUCUGCUAUAACUGUGGUUGAACUAACAAAUAGCUCCCAGUUUUCAUUUUCCAAUGAGUUGUCAUGAUCAACCAAAAUAUUGUGCAUCAUGCUUGUCUUGUCUCAGUUGAUUUCUUGAUUUCUUAAUCAACCAAAAUUCCACUUGAUUUCUUGGAAUACUCCAGGGAAAACACCUUGCAAUAUCUAUAAUUUUGUAGCGUUUGCGGACAUCAUUUCCACUGUUUCAAAAUUUCUUUUGUACAAUUUGAGUUUUUUGUAAAUAGUUUCAUUUUCUAUAGCAUCUAGCCACUUAAUGGAGAUGGAUACUAUGGCCAUUGUUGGCCCCCAAAAUUAUGUGAUAGCUCAUGUGGUAUCAAACAUUGAAAAGAGUUGCAAGUUCCUCUAUUGUCAUUGGCAGCCA